AACGUAGGGGACAAGCGUUAUCCGGAUUUACUGGGCGUAAAGCGCCCGUAGGCGGCUUAACAAGUUGGAUGUGAAAGCUCCCGGCUUAACUGGGAGAGGUCAUUCAAAACUGUUAGGCUAGAGGGUGGAAGAGGAGAGCGGAAUUCCCGGUGUAGUGGUGGAAUGCGUAGAGAUCGGGAGGAACACCAGUGGCGAAGGCGGGUCUCUGGUUCACACCUGACGCUGAGGGGCGAAAGCGUGGGGAGCGAACGGG
rnacentral:rRNA from 1 species